GACGAACGCUGGCGGCGUGCUUAACACAUGCAAGUCGAACGAAGAGCGAUGGAAGCUUGCUUCUAUCAAUCUUAGUGGCGAACGGGUGAGUAACGCGUAAUCAACCUGCCCUUCAGAGGGGGACAACAGUUGGAAACGACUGCUAAUACCGCAUACGAUCUAAUCUCGGCAUCGAGGAUAGAUGAAAGGUGGCCUCUACAUGUAAGCUAUCACUGAAGGAGGGGAUUGCGUCUGAGUAGCUAGUUGGAGGGGUAACGGCCCACCAAGGCGAUGAUCAGUAGCCGGUCUGAGAGGAUGAACGGCCACAUUGGGACUGAGACACGGCCCAGACUCCUACGGGAGGCAGCAGUGGGGAAUCUUCCGCAAUGGACGAAAGUCUGACGGAGCAACGCCGCGUGAGUGAUGACGGCCUUCGGGUUGUAAAGCUCUGUUAAUCGGGACGAAAGGCCUUCUUGCGAAUAGUGAGAAGGAUUGACGGUACCGGAAUAGAAAGCCACGGCUAACUACGUG
rnacentral:rRNA from 1 species